rnacentral:rRNA from 1 species
UACAGAGGUCCCAAGCGUUGUUCGGAUUCACUGGGCGUAAAGGGUGCGUAGGUGGCCAGGUAAGUUUGGUGUGAAAGCUCGGAGCUUAACUCCGAAAAGUCAUUGAAUACUAUCUGGCUGGAGGGUCGGAGGGGAGACUGGAAUUCUCGGUGUAGCAGUGAAAUGCGUAGAUAUUGAGAGGAACACCAGUCGCGAAGGCGAGUCUCUGGACGACUCCUGACACUGAGGCACGAAAGCUAGGGGAGCAAACAGG